GUCCUGGGGACGCGAAAGGGGAGCCGGAAGAGCGCCAGGGCGGAGGAGGAAGGGGAGGCUGCAGCCGCAGCCCAGCCCCAAACGCUGGGUUGGAACUUACCGACUGUGCGUUUUAAUUGUGUUAUUUUCCCGGCCGGGAGGCCAGCAUGGUAUUUGUAAGUUGAAGAGCCUUUGAAAAGGCAAACACAGAAUUGUAUAAUACAUAUUAGCUCACACCGUAAAGAUUGCAUGGAAUUUGACUGAACUGUAAAGAACAAAAAAGACGUUUCAGGUUUUAACUCGGUUUGGCCACCUCCCCGGCCCUCAUGUGCCGGGGAACUGGAGGUUGCAGUGAUGAAAACAGUGAGAAGACGAUGAACAUCGCUAUGCACCCACACGUCCGGCCGCGAACGUUCUGACGAGAGCCAGCCGGUUUUUGGAAGGGCCGAGGUGACCCGAAUUCAGGAACAGGGAGACCCGGGCAUGAUGGCGUCCCGCCCCACCAUGAGACCUCCCGGGGCUGUCUUUGUCCUGGCUGCUUCCUGCAGCUGGGCCUGCCUCGGGGCUGCAGCGAGGCUGGCGGUCAGCAGUGUCCCUGCCACUGGCCAAAGCAGACCUCACUGUGUCUGCUGAGAAGCAGCCCUUACUGCGCCCAAGGUCUAGGCCUCCGGGAGGCAGCUAACCAUUCACACAGCAGAGCUGAUAAACGUGUCAGUGUCUGCCAGAAGCCAAGUUGGUUCCCGUAUACAGAUGACAUAUUUGCAUUUUAAUUGGAUCUUCUGUGGACUCUAAACUCUAAAGUUCCAAAGGAGGACAACUAAGGCUGGGAAUUUCAAAUAUGCAGCAGAUGCUGAUGGGAGAGGAGUUGCAUAGCCAAGCUCUUGAGAGAUCUCAAGUGACAGCACCUAGGCAUGGCUACUUCAUCUUUUUCUUUGCAUAAGGAUAAUUCUUCCAAUGGUGAGAUGUUUAAUACCAGGAAGCAGAGUCCUGCAGUAAUUGGAGAUCCUGGAUCCCACUGACUCUCCUAAUUAGAAGGAACAGAAAAUGAAAGGAUCUUAGUUCCCCUGACCAG